UUAAGCGACUAAGCGUACACGGUGGAUGCCCUGGCAGUCAGAGGCGAUGAAGGACGUGCUAAUCUGCGAAAAGCGUCGGUAAGGUGAUAUGAACCGUUAUAACCGGCGAUGUCCGAAUGGGGAAACCCAGUGUGAUUCGUCACACUAUCGUUAACUGAAUACAUAGGUUAACGAGGCGAACCGGGGGAACUGAAACAUCUAAGUACCCCGAGGAAAAGAAAUCAACCGAGAUUCCCCCAGUAGCGGCGAGCGAACGGGGAGCAGCCCAGAGUCUGAAUCAGCUUGUGUGUUAGUGGAACGGUCUGGAAAGUCCGACGGUACAGGGUGAUAGUCCCGUACACCAAAAUGCACAGGUUGUGAACUCGAAGAGUAGGGCGGGACACGUGGUAUCCUGUCUGAAUAUGGGGGGACCAUCCUCCAAGGCUAAAUACUCCUGACUGACCGAUAGUGAACCAGUACCGUGAGGGAAAGGCGAAAAGAACCCCGGCGAGGGGAGUGAAAAAGAACCUGAAACCGUGUACGUACAAGCAGUGGGAGCACCUUCGGGUGUGACUGCGUACCUUUUGUAUAAUGGGUCAGCGACUUAUAUUCUGUAGCAAGGUUAACCGUAUAGGGGAGCCGCAGGGAAACCGAGUCUUAACUGGGCGUUAAGUUGCAGGGUAUAGACCCGAAACCCGGUGAUCUAGCCAUGGGCAGGUUGAAGGUUGGGUAACACUAACUGGAGGACCGAACCGACUAAUGUUGAAAAAUUAGCGGAUGACUUGUGGCUGGGGGUGAAAGGCCAAUCAAACCGGGAGAUAGCUGGUUCUCCCCGAAAGCUAUUUAGGUAGCGCCUCGUGAAUUCAUCUUCGGGGGUAGAGCACUGUUUCGGCUAGGGGGUCAUCCCGACUUACCAACCCGAUGCAAACUACGAAUACCGAAGAAUGUUAUCACGGGAGACACACGGCGGGUGCUAACGUCCGUCGUGAAGAGGGAAACAACCCAGACCGCCAGCUAAGGUCCCAAAGUCAUGGUUAAGUGGGAAACGAUGUGGGAAGGCACAGACAGCCAGGAUGUUGGCUUAGAAGCAGCCAUCAUUUAAAGAAAGCGUAAUAGCUCACUGGUCGAGUCGGCCUGCGCGGAAGAUGUAACGGGGCUAAACCAUGCACCGAAGCUGCGGCAGCGACACUAUGUGUUGUUGGGUAGGGGAGCGUUCUGUAAGCCUGCGAAGGUGACCUGUGAGGGUUGCUGGAGGUAUCAGAAGUGCGAAUGCUGACAUAAGUAACGAUAAAGCGGGUGAAAAGCCCGCUCGCCGGAAGACCAAGGGUUCCUGUCCAACGUUAAUCGGGGCAGGGUGAGUCGACCCCUAAGGCGAGGCCGAAAGGCGUAGUCGAUGGGAAACAGGUUAAUAUUCCUGUACUUGGUGUUACUGCGAAGGGGGGACGGAGAAGGCUAUGUUAGCCGGGCGACGGUUGUCCCGGUUUAAGCAUGUAGGCGGAGGUUCCAGGUAAAUCCGGUACCUUUUAACGCUGAGGUGUGAUGACGAGGCACUACGGUGCUGAAGUAACAAAUGCCCUGCUUCCAGGAAAAGCCUCUAAGCAUCAGGUAACAUCAAAUCGUACCCCAAACCGACACAGGUGGUCAGGUAGAGAAUACCAAGGCGCUUGAGAGAACUCGGGUGAAGGAACUAGGCAAAAUGGUGCCGUAACUUCGGGAGAAGGCACGCUGGUGUGUAGGUGAAGUCCCUGCGGAUGGAGCUGAGACCAGUCGAAGAUACCAGCUGGCUGCAACUGUUUAUUAAAAACACAGCACUGUGCAAACACGAAAGUGGACGUAUACGGUGUGACGCCUGCCCGGUGCCGGAAGGUUAAUUGAUGGGGUUAUCCGUAAGGAGAAGCUCUUGAUCGAAGCCCCGGUAAACGGCGGCCGUAACUAUAACGGUCCUAAGGUAGCGAAAUUCCUUGUCGGGUAAGUUCCGACCUGCACGAAUGGCGUAAUGAUGGCCAGGCUGUCUCCACCCGAGACUCAGUGAAAUUGAACUCGCUGUGAAGAUGCAGUGUACCCGCGGCAAGACGGAAAGACCCCGUGAACCUUUACUAUAGCUUGACACUGAACAUUGAGCCUUGAUGUGUAGGAUAGGUGGGAGGCUUUGAAGCGUGGACGCCAGUCUGCGUGGAGCCAACCUUGAAAUACCACCCUUUAAUGUUUGAUGUUCUAACGUUGGCCCCUUACCGGGGUUGCGGACAGUGUCUGGUGGGUAGUUUGACUGGGGCGGUCUCCUCCCAAAGCGUAACGGAGGAGCACGAAGGUUAGCUAAUCCUGGUCGGACAUCAGGAGGUUAGUGCAAUGGCAUAAGCUAGCUUGACUGCGAGCGUGACGGCGCGAGCAGGUGCGAAAGCAGGUCAUAGUGAUCCGGUGGUUCUGAAUGGAAGGGCCAUCGCUCAACGGAUAAAAGGUACUCCGGGGAUAACAGGCUGAUACCGCCCAAGAGUUCAUAUCGACGGCGGUGUUUGGCACCUCGAUGUCGGCUCAUCACAUCCUGGGGCUGAAGUAGGUCCCAAGGGUAUGGCUGUUCGCCAUUUAAAGUGGUACGCGAGCUGGGUUUAGAACGUCGUGAGACAGUUCGGUCCCUAUCUGCCGUGGGCGCUGGAGAAUUGAGGGGGGCUGCUCCUAGUACGAGAGGACCGGAGUGGACGCAUCACUGGUGUUCGGGUUGUCAUGCCAAUGGCACUGCCCGGUAGCUAAAUGCGGAAGAGAUAAGUGCUGAAAGCAUCUAAGCACGAAACUUGCCCCGAGAUGAGUUCUCCCUGAGACUUUAAGUCUCCUGAAGGAACGUUGAAGACGACGACGUUGAUAGGCCGGGUGUGUAAGCGCAGCGAUGCGUUGAGCUAACCGGUACUAAUGAACCGUGAGGCUUAACCUU
rnacentral:rRNA from 1 species